GUGGGGAGUUAGUAAGAUGUUGAGAGAGCUUUGAGGGCACUUGCUGUGAGUAUGGAGCUGGUUUUAGUGACUUUUGGAGUUGUGGCUAUGGAUAAAGAAGAUUGUUUCAGGCUGACUCCAGCUGAACCUGGGAGUGCUGAGACUGUGGCUACAAACAAUUGCAAAUGGAUUUUCCCUGCCUGGGUCGCUGUGGUUAUGGAGCAGCAGCCAGCCUAGAG
rnacentral:lncRNA from 1 species